GACGAACGCUGGCGGCGUGCUUAACACAUGCAAGUCGAACGGAAAGGCCCUGCUUUUGUGGGGUGCUCGAGUGGCGAACGGGUGUGUAACACGUGAGUAACCUGCCCUUGACUUUGGGAUAACUUCAGGAAACUGGGGCUAAUACCGGAUAGGAGCUCCUGCUGCAUGGUGGGGGUUGGAAAGUUUCGGCGGUUGGGGAUGGACUCGCGGCUUAUCAGCUUGUUGGUGGGGUAGUGGCUUACCAAGGCUUUGACGGGUAGCCGGCCUGAGAGGGUGACCGGCCACAUUGGGACUGAGAUACGGCCCAGACUCCUACGGGAGGCAGCAGUGGGGAAUAUUGCACAAUGGGCGGAAGCCUGAUGCAGCAACGCCGCGUGCGGGAUGACGGCCUUCGGGUUGUAAACCGCUUUCGCCUGUGACGAAGCGUGAGUGACGGUAAUGGGUAGAGAAGCACCGGCUAACUACGUG
rnacentral:rRNA from 1 species